AUUGAACGCUGGCGGCAUGCCUUACACAUGCAAGUCGAACGGCAGCACGGGAGCAAUCCUGGUGGCGAGUGGCGAACGGGUGAGUAAAGUAUCGGAACGUGCCCGGUCGUGGGGGAUAACGUAGCGAAAGUUACGCUAAUACCGCAUACGAUCUAUGGAUGAAAGCGGGGGAUCGCAAGACCUCGCGCGAUUGGAGCGGCCGAUAUCAGAUUAGGUAGUUGGUGGGGUAAAGGCUCACCAAGCCGACGAUCUGUAGCUGUGUCGGAGAGGACGACCAGCCACACUGGGACUGAGACACGGCCCAGACUCCUACGGGAGGCAGCAGUGGGGAAUGUUGGACAAUGGGCGAAAGCCUGAUCCAGCCAUGCCGCGUGCAGGAUGAAGGCCUUCGGGUUGUAAACUGCUUUUGUACGGAACGAAAAGGUUUGGCCUAAUAAGCUGAGCUCAUGACGGUACCGUAGGAAUAAGCACCGGCUAACUACGUGCCAGCCGCCGCAGUAA
rnacentral:rRNA from 1 species